AUUGAACGCUGGCGGCAGGCCUAACACAUGCAAGUCGAGCGGAUGGAGGGAGCUUGCUCCUGGAUUCAGCGGCGGACGGGUGUGUAAUGCCUAGGAAUCUGCCUGGUAGUGGGUGAUAACGUCCGGAAAAGGGUGCUAAUACCGCAUACGUCCUGCGGGAGAAAGUGGGGGAUGUUCGGACCUCACGCUAUCAGAUGAGUCUAGGUCGGAUUAGCUAGUUUGUGGGGUAAAGGCCUACCAAGGCGAGGAUUGGUAACUGGCCUGAGAGGAUGAUCAGUCACCCUGGAACUGAGACACGGUCCAGACUCCUGCGGGAGGCAGCAGUGGGGAAUGUUGGACAAUGGGCGAAAGCCUGGUACAGCCAUGCCGCGUGUGUGAAGAAGGUCUUCGGAUUGUAAAGCACUUUAAGUUGGGAGGAAGGGCAGUAAGUUAAUACCUUGCUGUUUUGACGUUACCAACAGAAUAAGCACCGGCUAACUUCGUG
rnacentral:rRNA from 1 species